rnacentral:piRNA from 2 species
UGACCAGGUCAAGUCUCUUGGACAGAUUG